CCAUGAAAGUCCCUGGAACAGUCAGUCCUUCUGUCUGUCUGCCUGGCUUGCCUUGCAGGGUUGUUGCAAUCAUAAGGCUGCAAAGAGAAAGCGAAGUGCCAAUGUGACAACUAAACAAUGACAACAAGCAAACAAGACGACAGUGUUCCUUCUUCUCUAUAGUAAACUGGUUGCUUUUCAUCUCUAGCUCAUGCAAGUCAGUUACUGCCUUUUGGGUGCUAUAGUCCUCCUUUUCCAGGACAUGCCCUGGUGGCACAAGGCUGUGAGUUCAGUCCCAGCCAGGGGCUCUGGGUCGACUCAGCCAGGCAUCCUUCCAUAGGUCGCUAAUAUGAAAACCCAGCUUUGUUGGGGGCAAUUAUCUUACAGUUGUAAACUGCUCAUGGACUGCUCAUAGCAAUUCUUGCUAUUGUACUUGCUAUACAUCAUUUAAAUCUCCUGUCCUGUCCUCCAUUUCAACAUGAUAAAGAAGGAUAAGGUUACAUUUAUAUUAGUCUUACUGGCUUUUUUUUUUUAAAUUUUGUAAUGUCCUUCAUCUUUGUUGACUGUCCCACAUUUUAGGUUUUAUUUUGGCACGCCUUCCUUUUUUUUUGACACGCUCCACUUUCUCAAAGGAGGACAAGGCACAUGUUUUGCAGUGCCUUGUCCUCCUUUGCAGUUCGGACGUCUGGUCACCCUGGUCUGGGGUCAUCCAUUUUUGAGCCAGGCUCCAUUGUGGAGCAGAUCAUCUUGGGUUCUCAUUUUAAAAAUAAAGUAGAAUUCAUAAGACUGAUAUCUGCCCAUCUCUCUUUCACGUUUCUUGCAGUGUUUGUUGGCAGCAUGUGUUGUUGUUUCAUGAUUAAGACUGCAGCUUAUAUUAGAGUGCAGAGAAGCAAGUCACAAGUACGUGAUGAAGCUAUACAUAGAGUGAAGAAUGGGAACGGUUGCUUCUUCUCACUGUGUCUUAAUACUGGAACCUGGGGUCAUCCACUUCAGAUAAUUAGCAGAGACUCCCAAACUUUGAUCUUCCACAUGUUAUGGACUUCAGCUCCCAGAAGCCCCCACCAGUUUGGCUAACAGUCAAGACUUCUGGAAGUUGACAUUACUUUGGGAACAUGUACUAAACAGGAUACUUAAUUAUAACAGUUGGACCAUUUCUCAAGCUUUUGCCAAUGGUCACAUCACUGUAGGAUUUUUUAAAACAUUUCAAUAGCACAACAGUACCACAAAAGUUCAUAUCCUCUGAUGUUCUUCACACUUUGCAAAACAACUUUCUGGUAAUCUUUAACAUUCUUGCACUCCUUCCACAAAUAAAGUGACCUGUGCUAUUUUCCAACAAUGAGUUCAAUCAUGCAGAUUUCAGUGGGCCUAAGUAUGCUUAAACAUUUGAUUAUUGUGUUGUUGAUUCUUUAAUAUACAAGUGUUGUUUUUAUUAAAAGCUU